UAGCAGCACGUAAAUACUGGAGUUUAGGAUUGCCUGUUGCUCUCCAGUAUUGCAUUGCUGCUUUA
rnacentral:pre_miRNA from 1 species